rnacentral:lncRNA from 15 species
AUGACUGGUUUUUGGAUGCCGUGUGUGCCUGCUGCUGAGGUCCAACACGUCCAGUUCGGUUCAACAGUCACUCUGGGCUGUAACAUCUCCUACCUUUAUGAUACAACAUGGUUUAAGCACAAUCCAAAUUUCCCCCCCACUGUCGUCCUCUGUGCCAGCCUCAAAGACGCACAACUAAACCAAGGGUUUCAGCUCAACCCUCGUUUCUCAGUGGAGUUGACAAACCGAUCUCUGGCACUGCGGAUCACUGCUGUUGAGAAGAGGGACCUCGGGCUGUAUUUCUGUAUUGCUAGUGUGAACGCACAAUUAAAGGUUGGAAAAGGAACAAUGCUUCAAGGUAAGCAAGUUUUGUAUUUUACAUUUGUUAAUAUUUUAAGUUGUUAACCUGACACAAGGGGUCCGUGUAUGUUUUGGUCAUUGGAUUUUCCUUUCAGAAACGGAUAUUAAAAAACAGAAAACGAGUGGUUAUUUGAUUUUCGUUUUAAAAUUCAAAAAUUAAAAUUGAAAUACAAGGCGUUUUUCUUUUUCGUGGUCAAAAAGGGAUGAGCGAAAUUAAAAAAAUUAUUCGAUUUUCAUUUUCUAUUUCAUAUAACAAAAAAUAAAAUCACUAGAAAACAGAAACAGAAAAAAGGCCUGUUUUUUCAUAUUCUGAGACCGGAUGUUGUCAUUUACAGGAUGGUGCUGUGUAGAAGAAACAGUAGGCUAGUAGACUGCGGUCAAUCCAGCCGUGAGUCCGAUCUCCGUGGUCAAAUCAGCCGCACCUAAAUGUCCAGUGUACAAGUAUUCUCAGCAUUAUGGUAAAUGCGGAGAAACAGCGUAUUUACUUCCGGUUUUCAAAAUAAAGGUAUUUAGAGCCGUAAGCUAUAAUUAAAAUAUGUUACAUUAAAGUGUUGUGCCCCUGAUGAAUAAAAAAACACUUUAUAUCAAGUAUCUAUACUGCACCAGUGUGGAGAAAUGCCAAAAUAAAAGCCUCAUAUUUAUGCCUCCAGAGAUUGCAUAUUUGACAAUAUUUGAGGUACUGUAAAAACAUAUUGCUCAGUGUUUCCUGGCUACUGAUGGUAUAUUUGACCUUUACACAUAUGAGACUACAAACAUACUUAAUAUCAAGCAUUUUUACUGUACCAAUGUGGAGAAAUUAAAGAAUAAAAGUCCCAUAUUUAUACUUCCAGAUUCCAUAUUUUCUUAUAUUUGAGCUACUGUAAAAACAUAUUGCUCAAUAUUUCCUGGCUAUGGGUGAAGCAUUUUCAUUAUACUUCAAUAAUGCUGCAGUAAUCAUGACAAAAUUUCACACAAAUGUUUAAUAACAUCUUGAUAAUAUAAACACUAAACACAAAAUCCUACACAAUUCUAAUUUGUUUACUUUUCACACAAAAUGCAAUGCCAGUCCACAUUCUUCUUAUUUUGCAGCUCUGCUGUGUCCAUUUGUACGUAAAAGGGAAAAAUAAUUAGUUUUAACUUCAAAACACCAUUGUACCUACUGUCUCUUCCUCACAUAUUAUUUUUUAUGUUAUUCAGUGUGACAGCUGUUGCACCUGUAUUCACAUACAGUUUACAUUUUUACAGUAGCUCAAAUAUCCCUUAAUAUGGAAUCUGGAAGUAUACAUAUGAGGACUUUUAUUCUUGUGUUUUUACAUUAGCUCAAAUAUAUGAAAACACCACUUGGAGGUACAAAUAUGGACUUUUAUUGUUGAAUUUCUCCAAAUUGGUACAGUAAAAAUGCUUGAUAUUAAGUAUGUUUGUAGUCUCAUAUGUGCAAAAGUCAAAUAUACCAUCAGUAGCCAGGAAACACUGAGCAAUAUGUUUUUACAGUACCUCAAAUAUGGUCAAAUAUGCAAUCUCUGGAGGCAUAAAUAUGAGGCUUUUAUUUUGGCAUUUCUCCACACUGGUACAGUAAAGAUACUUGAUAUAAAGUGUUUUUUAUUCAUCAGGGGCGCAUGAAACACUUUAAUGUAACAUAUUUUAUUUUAAAUGUAGGUUCGAAUUAUAGCUUACUGUUCUAAAUACCCUUAUUUUGAAAACCAGAAGUAAAUACGCUGUUUCUCCGCAUUUACCAUAAUGCUGAGAAUACUUGUACACUAAAUUUAAGUGCGGCUGAUUUGACCACGGAGAUCGGACUCACGACUGGAUUGACCGCAGUCUUCUAGCCUACUGUUUGUUCUACAAAGGGCCGUCCUGUAAAUGACAACAUCCGGUCUCAGAAUAUGAAAAAACAGGCCUUUUUUCUGUUUCUGUUUUCUAGUGAUUUUAUUUUUUGUUAUAUGAAAUAGAAAAUGAAAAUCGAAUAUUUUUUUUAAUUUUGCUCAUCCCUUUCUGACCAUGAAAAAGAAAAACGCCUUGUAUUUC